rnacentral:misc_RNA from 1 species
CAAGAGAGUUCGGUCUCUUAUCCCCUCCUCUUUUUUUGCUUAUACCUGUUAUCUUUAUCAUCGUCAAGCACAUUAGUUCUCUAUCUUCAAAGCGGCGGCCUCUUCCUCCGGGUCCGAGGCCAUGGCCUAUCGUAGGCAACAUUUUCCUUCUUGAGAAAAAGCUACACAUCCCAAUGACACGCUUUGCCAAAGUUCAUGGCCCUCUGAUUUCAUUGAGGCUCGGUACGCAAGUCGUUGUUGUUGGCUCUUCCCCUGCUGCAGCUCUCCUGCUGCAGCAACUGAAAUUCUGAAAAAUCACGAUCGUUUGCUUUCUGCCAGAUGGCAAAGUAAAGUGAUUCCCCGGAAAAGCCAUGAACUUGAACGUAUAUCGGUUAUUUGGAACCCCACAUGCAAUGACCAGUGGAGGUCCUUACGAGCCUUGUUCAGGACUGAGCUUUUCUCCGCCAAAG